AAUGACCUAGAGUGAGUCACCCGCUCUCUCAGAGUCCGCGAAGUUGCAGGUUAAGAACCUGACUAGUAUCCAUGAGGAUGCAGGUUAGAUCCCUGGCCUCCCACAGUGUUAAGGAUCCAGCGUUGCCGUGAGCUGUGGUGCAAGUUGCAGAUGUGGCUCAGAUCUGGCGUGGCUGUGGCUGUGGUGUAGGCCGGCAGCUGCAGCUCCCAUCCAGCCCCUAGUCUGGGAACCUCCUUAUGUCACGGGCACGGUCCGGCAGCGACUGAGGGCGUCCAGGGGAUUUGCAGGUGCAGCCAGAGUUGAGAGGCCCAGCACAGGCGAGGCGAGGACGCCUGGAGAACGUGGGAGGCGCUCCAUUAACUCACUUUGCUGUCACUGUCAUUCCAUCUUCCCCUGGCGUUGGUGACCACUGAGCAUUUUCACCCAGCUGCUGUGAAGCUGGUAUGAUCAUUCCUGACCCGAUUUGAUUGUCUUUCUCAGCAUUAAACGCCCAGCACCUACUGAGGCCGUUUUUAAGUGAGCGUUAGGGAGCUCGCUGCUCUGAUGCAGAAUCUCCAAAUUUUGAGCCUCUCACUGGCCUUGCAGCGCCUUUUGCAUGGAAUACCAUCGGCAAUUUUGUGGGAGCCCUUUCCUGGGAUGACCUGGCUUUACUGUGGACUGGGGGCCGGGAGGCACUGUUGCUUCCCAGCUGGAAGGCACCCCUGCCCCCCAGCUCCUCCAGGAAGCCAGGUGCCAGGGGGAAGGGGAAAAUGCUUUUGAUAGAUAAGGUAGUUAAUUCCAGUCUUGAACUCUUACAAGGAGGAGUCUGCACAAAUCACAGGUUUGUUUGAAUGUGAAAAGAACAACUGGAAAGUUUCACAGUGACAAGAUAAGUGCAGGAAUUAUAUUUAAAUGAGUACAGAAGAAAAUUUCACCACAAACCCCAUUAACGAAAGAAGGUUCUCUACAAUGGGGUGUAAUUGAAUUAACGCAAAGAUCUGUGUUCGGGCCAGUGCCUUCCUGGCUGUGUUCGGGGCUGGUGCAGGCUUCAUUCCUAUUUCUUCCACCCAAGGGCUGGGCUGGGCAUAUGGAUCAAACCCACCUGAUAGUGGAUUUUUAGCAGAAGAGAAACAUCUAAUACGGUGUGUGCUGUGAGGGGGAAAAAAGUAAGACAGGCUUAACAGAAAGCAUAGGAUCUUUUAAGGCACUGUUUGGUGCCUUGCAUGUUGCCGUUACUUUGCUAAUGGAAUUGCGUCCUAAGGAAAUGUUGUGUAACACAUGCGCUUCGGUGGGGCUUCACCUUUCCAGGUUUCUAAAGCCUCACUUCCCAGUAUAAUCCGGGGAAGGAGGCUGCGAGGUCUAGGCAUCCUCAUUUUGUGGAUAAGAAAACUGAGAUUUACCACUUAAAUAACAGUCACCGUAGCUGGAAAGGUGGUCCUUGGCCGACUGGACUCAUCUUAAGACUCUCAUUUUGGUGCUUUUUCUAUCUUACACAUUUUUACGUGAUUUUACUUGGAGGUUGAAAAAAGUAAAGAUGUUGAGAGUUUCCCUUGUGGCUCAGCUGCUAACCAACUUGACUGGUAUCCAUGAGGAUGCGGGUUCAAUCCCUGGCCUCCCUCAGUGGGUUAAGGAUCCGGCAUUGCCGUGAGCUGUGGUGUAGGUCGCAGACUCAGCUCGCAUCCCACAUUGCUGUGGCUGUGGUGUAGGCCAGCGGCUGUAGCUCUGAUUCGACCCCUAGCCUGGGAACUUCCACAUGCCAUGGGCGUGGCCCUAAAAAAAAAGCAAAUAAACCAAAAAAGUAAAGAUUUUUUUAAAAUUGAGAUUUCAUCUUAAAGCAAAAGAAUGAGGAAAUUGAAAAUUGUGAAAUAUGAAAAUUGGCCUUUGCCCAGUAACCCAAAUAUGCCUUUGCCUUGGCUUUCAUCUAGCUCUGGGAAUCUUCAAGUCCUUUUUCCACAAAGGGCUUCCUGAAACAUUCAGGACCUCAAUCACUAAUCACAGACAGAUGGGAAGAAAAGUCAGAGCAAGCUGCAUGAAGAAAAGUGCCCAGAUCCUUGAAAUAAACUCUUCCUAACCCCCCACCCCAACCCUUUUGUAAUGAUUAGCAAAGAUCAGUGACACCAUAAUCUCUGAGGCUGAUUGACCAGGAAUCUGAUGUUGGAUAUUCCAGUAGAUGCUCUCCAAGUCAAAGUCAGCUGGCACUUUCUGAACCCGGAGGAAAGUCAUGUUGGGUGCAAACACCCAGAGGUGUUAUUUAAUACAGAGGAGUUCACCGUCUUUUUCACGGCAGACAAUACACGGUCAUUUUUUACGGCACCAUGUGGGUUCCCAAAAAUCGAUGGCUCGUUCCUGGAGGGGCCACAGUCUCAGGAAGGAGUAGAGCUGAGGUCUGAUCUGGGUGACCUCUGCCCUGAAUUAACAUUUCCAGUGGGUCACUUUUAGGCGUGCUGUCGCAUUUGUCUCGUCUGGGUAUGACAGGGACAAUAGCACGUCUCCUGCACGGUUCAGAAGGUGCUUUUUAAAGCGCCCUUUAGGAAGCCAUCGAAAUCACGACAUUUAUUGCCAGUGUCUUCGAUGAACUUAAAGUCACCUCCUAUCACACCUCCAGGCGCGAUAGUAUUUCUGUUCCUGUGACAACUGCGUCAUGUCACCCUUGGCACUUUUACUGUCCUCUUCCUAGAAUACCCCCAAAGUGCUUUCUGAGCGGGUUAACUGCUGAGUGCCGCCUCUUUCCUGCUUCGGGGAGAGCAGCGUCACCCCAGGCACGGGCCACUGCGUGUGUGGGAGGUCGGUGGGUCACAUUCGGCAUCCCUGACUCCGCUCCUGCAUCUCGACGCAGGGCCUGAGAGCCACGCUCAGGCGUCGUUCCUUUUUACCCGUUCCUCUUUCCGAACCCUCAGCCUUGCUACUACCCCUGCCGCAUCCCUCCAAGCCAACAGCACAGCGCUGUCACCCAAGAAAACAGACUAGGAGCCGAAGCGUGUUUCAGGUUGGGGCUGGCCUCGGAUUGGAUUAGCACCGGAAUCAAGUCACCGUUACCAAGGUCCGGUGCACCAAGCCCUAUGGGCGCGCUUCGGCCCCGCAGCUUUGCAUUUGCUCCCAAAAAAGGCGGGGUGGGGGGGGGGGGGAAGGAGCCCCGACCCCGAAGACGAUACACGGCCCUUUCCAGUCUGGUGGCAGCGUGUGUGGCCUGGCAGUGGGCCCUGUCCAGCACUUAUCUUCCGAUUCCCUGCUUCACGUGGCCCCCCACUUGAGGUGAGAAGGGCACAGCCGUGCCAGAGAGUGGGCGGAAACACAGCCUUGUUCUUAACCUGCGCCGAGAACGUCGCGUCUCCUUGGACGUCUUCAUUCGCCGAUGCGGCCCCGGAUCGCGGUGCUCCUCCGGCAGGGCGGCGCUUAACCUGCUCCGCCCCACGUCUGGGGGCGCCCCCACCGCGGGGACGGGGAGAAUUAGGCCCGGAAAAUGGCCCUGUCCCUUUCCUUGUCAUAUCACUGGACGCCGUAAUCAAGCUGCUUCUCUCGAUGAGCAGCGUGUGGUCAUGGACCUCGGUGAGUCGCUUGGACCCGGCAUCCCACAGUGACCCUGGGCAGCGUGGGCACGUGUUCGCCUCCUCCUGGAGAAGGAGAAGGGACGGGGAGUGACGGCCAAGAGCAGCUCGGCCUCUGCAGCCGCCGAUCCAGGUCUAUACACGCGCAGGUUUUGACACCCUGCUCGCUAAUGACUUGGGUCUGUAGAGCCACACUUGUCACAGCAUCAUCUCAUUUAUUGCCCAUCAUGGCCCUACGAGGACACACGUGGGGCUCUCGUCUUGACCUCCCACAGAAUGGACCCUGUGCUGGAAGGCGGCCAGGGACUUAUUACCCCCACCAGGGGGCUGGGGACAAAAGCCAUCACCCUGGCCUCAGGCCAGGGCUCCUUCUGUCCCACUAGGCCGAGGGCUUCACCGGGGGGGCUUCCAAGGUGUGUCAUUGUCUCUAGCUCCAGCUCCCAUCCAGCUGGUAGACAGGAGGGGAGCCAGGCUUCCCUUUGCUCGUGUCACAGGGCAGAAGGGUGACAAGCAUCCCUGCCUCUGUGCUCUACAGAGCCCGCUCGGGGUCUAGGUUGGAUCCCCCCAAGGAAGGCAGUUGGAGUGCUUAUCCGCUGUCUCUCAAUGAGCCACUGGUCGGGUGGACAGUGGAACACACACUGGCCUUGGGGCUGCCAUGCUCAGUGUGUGGCGUCGUCUCACGUCUUUGACAGACGUGGGGGGUGGGGUGGAGGGGCGGCAACUCUUACAGCUUUACUCCCAAGGGGGUGUCUGAUACUUAGAAGCAUGUACACCAAAUCCGCUCCAGUUCCUGCCUGCUUAGUUCGUGGGUAGAUACAUAUGGCCAAUUCUAGUUCAUGUCUCUGCAAGGAAUCUUCUGUAUCUUUCUUGAUGCUGACAGUUUUAUUAGGGCUACUUCUUUAGGUUUUGUUGUUAUUACUCCUUUAAAAAUGUAGUGUUGUGGCAGCUCGGAGGCAGUCGCAAAAUACUCUUUUUUUUUUUUUUUUUUUUUUUUUGGAAUACACAAGCUGGAUUAAAAUGUACAGUAACUGUCACCUGGUACCCAGACCCCUGUAGCUGUGUCAACAUUUGCCAGUGAUUUAUUGCAUUAAAUUGGAAUCAGCUGAUAUUUGGUUCCAUCGUUUUGAACUCUGCAGGGUUAAUCUGCAGCCUGCUGGUACACAUGAAAUAGUUGUUUUAUCUGCUGUUCUAAGACUGAUGAAAUGUUUAAAAGAUGGCUGUGUAAUCAGUCAGUUAUCUCUCAGUGGUACGGCUUAUUCCGCAUGGCAGUGUACAAUCUCCAAAAUAAUUAUGCUGCCGUACUUAAAACAUGGGCGCCGAAUGCAGCCACCGAUAAAACUUGGUUCAGCGAGACCUUUCCCCCAUUGGAUCCUUCUAUCUUGUUAUCUUCGUAGAGGGAAGAGCAGGGGUUGUGAUGGUCAGCCCUCCUGGGAGCCUGAAAGCUUAGGGCAAGACCUGGGAGACAGAGCACUUAAUCUAUUGUCAAAGGCUUUUCUUCCCUUUGACCUUUUGUUUUUAGCUGAACUUGAUUAGACCAGACUUUGAUUCACUCACCCGGACAUAGGUGGGCCCUUUCGAAGUAAGGAUGCUGAUGCUUCGAGUUUUCCUUUGUCCUGAAAGCAAUUAAGAGGUACCUCAAGUCAGGGGAAUUUGAAAAAAGAAAAAAUUCCACACCAGUAUCCACUUUUUUAACAUUGUCCUUUCGUAGCCAGAAGAUCUGAAAAAGGCGUUUGCUGGGCUUCCUACCUGGCAUUUUCUUCACAGCUCGUCUGAAGGAAAAAGCAUCAUAGAUUAUUUUUUCAUAAACUGAAUAGUCUCUGGGGAUAAUGAUUCCUGUUUACAAAGACAGUAGCAAAAAUCCUUACCGAUGUUUCAAGGAAGACCCAAGACUCGGCAUAAAAUCUCGUAGACUGAGUUCCACCAAUUAGAUGACACACGCUGUCUUUGAACCCAAGGUAACUUUUUCAGUUCACGGGGAAGAAAAGCAUGCAAUGAAUUCAUUGUAUCUGGGGGCCCUUCUCCUCCAGUGGACCAGGAGCAGCAUACCUGUUGAGUCAGGAGAGAUGCACGUGGACGGGGUUGUAGCACUGGGUAUAUGGCAUGCUGCUCGGUCGAAUGGGUACAGGUGAGCGAUUAGCUCGGAAGAUAUGUUAGGUUUAGGGGAGGGGGUUUGUGUGUUUUCUUUAAGAAGACAGUCCGAGAUGCGCUCGCUCUGUUUCUGGGACCGUUCACUCUGCCCGAUGCGGUUGCUCAUCACCUCGUUGCUGCGUCACUCCCUCGGGGCAGUAGAGCACGUGACUCCCGCACAGCCACCCAUCCCUCCAGCCCAGCCCCUCUGCUGUCCUUACUGGAACAUGGGCCCCACCUUUUCCUGCUCCCCAACCAGACGCGUCAGAAGUGGAUGCCAGGGAGUUCCCUUCGGGGCUUAGCCGUCAACGAUCUGGACUAGGACCCAUGAGGACACAGGUUCUGUCCCUGGCCUCACUCAGUGCGUCAGGAAUCUGGCGUGGCCAUGAGCUGUGGGGUAGGUCAUAGACGAGGCUCGGAUCUGGUGUGGCUGUGGCUGUGGCUGGCAGCUAUAGCUCCGAUUCAGUCCCCAGCCUGGGAACCUCCAUAUGCCGCAGGUGCAGCCCU
rnacentral:lncRNA from 1 species